rnacentral:rRNA from 1 species
AGCAGUCGCCACGGUAAUACGAAGGGUGCAAGCGUUACUCGGAAUUACUGGGCGUAAAGCGUGCGUAGGUGGUGGUUUAAGUCCGUUGUGAAAGCCCUGGGCUCAACCUGGGAAUUGCAGUGGAUACUGGGUCACUAGAGUGUGGUAGAGGAUAGUGGAAUUUCCGGUGUAGCAGUGAAAUGCGUAGAGAUCGGAAGGAACAUCUGUGGCGAAGGCGACUAUCUGGGCCAACACUGACACUGAGGCACGAAAGCGUGGGGAGCAAACAGGAUUAGAUACCCCUGUAGUCCCUGUCUCUUAUAA